GGUCGAUUAGCUCAGUUGGUUAGAGCGUGGUGCUAAUACUCUGAGAGUUUACACCAAGGUCGCGAGUUCGAGCCUCGUAUUGACCA